rnacentral:rRNA from 1 species
AGAGCGAACGCUGGCGGCAGGCCUAACACAUGCAAGUCGAGCGCCCCGCAAGGGGAGCGGCAGACGGGAGAGUAACACGUGGGAACGUACCCUUUGGUUCGGAACAACCCAGGGAAACUUGGGCUAAUACCGGAUAAGCCCUUACGGGGAAAGAUUUAUCGCCGAAGGAUCGGCCCGCGUCUGAUUAGCUAGUUGGUGGGGUAAUGGCCCACCAAGGCUACGAUCAGUAGCUGGUCUGAGAGGAUGAUCAGCCUCACUGGGACUGAGACACGGCCCAGACUCCUACGGGAGGCAGCAGUGGGGAAUAUUGGACAAUGGGCGCAAGCCUGAUCCAGCCAUGCCGCGUGGGUGAUGAAGGCCCUAGGGUUGUAAAGCCCUUUCGGCGGGGAAGAUAAUGACGGUACCCGCAGAAGAAGCCCCGGCUAACUUCGCGCCAGCAGCCGC